UGGGGUAUAUUGGACAAUGGGCGAAAGCCUGAUCCAGCCACGCCGCGUGUGUGAAGAAGGUCUUCGGAUUGUAAAGCACUUUAAGUUGGGAGGAAGGGCAGUAAGCGAAUACCUUGCUGUUUUGACGUUACCGACAGAAUAAGCACCGGCUAACUCUGUGCCAGCAGCCGCGGUAAUACAGAGGGUGCAAGCGUUAAUCGGAAUUACUGGGCGUAAAGCGCGCGUAGGUGGUUCGUUAAGUGGAAUGUGAAAGCCCCGGGCUCAACCUGGGAACUGCAUCCAAAACUGGCGAGCUAGAGUAGGGGGGGGGGUGGUGGGAUUUCCUCUGUAGCGGUGAAAUGCGUAGAUAUAGGAAGAAACACCAGUGGCGAAGGCGACCACCUGGGCUCAUACUGACACUGAGGUGCGAAAGCGUGGGGAGCAAACAGG
rnacentral:rRNA from 1 species